rnacentral:lncRNA from 1 species
UAGGCUUGCACUAUAUGAGCAUAACGAAUACACAAAACAAAUAAGAAAAAAUUAAAAAUACUAAUCCAUCAUGGCUGUUGGUGUGUUACUAUGAUGGCAUGUGUACUAUCUGAUGUUUCCCUAUAGUUAUGUAGAACAGGACCGGAAGGAAGAGUAAUCUACAACUUUGACUCAUUUGUCUUAGAUCUUCAAAUGUUUAUUAUGCUAAAUAAAAAAAAUUAUAUGUACUAAUUAUCUAUAUUGUCUUGGCCCCCCAAGCUUCAUGGGCCC